UACGGAGGGUGCAAACGUUGCUCGGAAUCAUUGGGCGUAAAGCGCACGUAGGCGGCCGAUUAAGUCGGGUGUGAAAGCCCUGGGCUCAACCCAGGAAGUGCACUCGAAACUGACCGGCUUGAAUAUGGAAGAGGGUCGCGGAAUUCCCGGUGUAGAGGUGAAAUUCGUAGAUAUCGGGGAGGAACACCAGUGGCGAAGGCGGCGACCUGGGCCAAUAUUGACGCUGAGGUGCGAAAGCGUGGGGAGCAAACAGG
rnacentral:rRNA from 1 species